UUGGCCUUUAAAGCCCCUAUUGAAAAGAUCUGAGGAUCAAACCUCCUCGACUACUGAUGGUUAUAAUUUGCGAUACACUGAUAGUUUUACAUGAUUAACGGUUAGUAUUUCGAAGUAGAUGGACCUUAAGAGAAAAAGCUUGAAAGGUGGUGCACACCUCUCCUAUAGAUAUAGUAAAACUGUAAGAUUUACUACAGGGGAGCUGAGCAUGGAGCCUGGGAUGUAAAGACAGAUUUAAGAUAAAAACCAGAUGGAAGCAAAUAAACUUGCUCUCCUUCUGAGUCUGCUCUCUGCUAUUUUGGGAAUUAUGGGAGGGGGUAUGACUUGGCAAGUGUAAAUACACAGGCUAGUAUAAGCAUUGGGUCUCCCUACUUAAAGGGGGAGGUAUAGGGUCUGGCACAUGUUCAGUGUGGUGACCCACUUUUCUUUGCAUCUGGACCUGAUAAGUUCCCUCCUCAGUGGCAAUGGGAAGGAGGUCUAGACUCCUGGACAUGCACUGACUAUUAGACUUGACCUCCUAAUUUUAGUUGUCUUUUAGGCUCAACACCUAUAAACAAACAUACAUGCAUUAGAAAGCAUUUAUAUUUAUGGUUGCCCUAUUUUUUCUGAUUUGAGAGAAGCAUUUACUUUUCCUUUAAGUUAGAGUCUGUGAUAGUUUUGCAAAAAAUCCUGGAGUGGUGCUGAAACCUUCAAAUCUUUUAGUUGUGAAGAGCUCUUUUCCUUGUGGGGAAAAUUUAAAAAGAUUCUUGCAAGCUAAGAACCACUGAAGCCAAGACAAGAGCUUCUGAUACUUUCCUUCUUCUCUUAUUCUCCUUGAGGUCACUGCAGUCAGUUGUACUGGUUGCCACUUGUCAAUACUGAAAAUCAGUCAGAGCUAUAAAUAAAAAGCUAAAAGAACAUAACAUUCACAUGUAGUUUAUGACAACAUAUUUGAAUUGAGGGAAUGGUCUUAUACUUGCUUUAUUUUCAUUCUGAUAUGCUGAUUUGAUUUUUUUUUCUCCCUGAUACCAAACCGAAUCAUUUAAGAUGAGAAUUUACUGAUGCUCAGACUCAAUGCUAUACCUGCAUUUUUCACAGUGCAGAAUUGUAAUCCACAUUUUGUUAUGGUGCAUAGGUGUUAGGUUAUGGUUUGCAUUUGUGUUUGUGUUCUCAUCAUUUCUUGUUGUUUAUUAUAUUCUAUUAGGUCUUUCCUUAUCCUGUAUAUUUAUCUCUGUUCAUUAUAGUCUUUAAAUGUGUUGCUAUAUUAGUUAAUUUCUUUAUGUUUAGAUUCUUAGUUUAUUCUCAUGUUCUGUUCAUAUAACAUUUGUUUUUGUUUUUCUUAUAUCUCCGUUAGACUUUUCUCCUUGGUUUGGUAGUUUCUUUGUAUCUUAGUUGAGUUCCAUUCAUGUUAGUCUCCCUGCUCUUCUUCUGCCUCAGCUGCACACAUCUACAUUCCAUGUCGUUCGCCACACUUCCCAGAGUAUGUUAGCUCACUGAUUGUGAUUUUUGAUAGCUAGAUUUCUCAGUUCAUCUGGCAUGUACCACAUUUUUCUGUUAGUCUGCCUGUUCUCUACUCAUACAGUGUGCCAUGUUCCUCUUGCGCCACACCACUUGUACAUUUUCUGUUUUCUUUAUUAAAGAACUCCUUAUCAGCACUUGGAUCCUUCUCUGACCCACCUAACCAUUUAUUAAAUUAUUAUUAAAUAUGGGUACUAAAAUCAAAGCCAUGGUUUACAAAGUGCUAACUAUCUUGACUAUCCAGAAACUUAGUUUAAUGUCCUGUACCAUAAUCAAAAAUACUGUGUGAGAGACAGUGAACACAAGAUAUUUGAACAAGCCUCCUAGUUUGUCUCGUAUACUUGAUCAGUAUGGGUGAAUUCUGGAAAAAAAAUAUAUUUAAGGGUUCUUGCAGUUUUGUUUAGUUUAUUUAUGUAACUGCAAUUUACAAUGGACAGUUUAAAAGACAAAAAGGUCAGAGACACAUCCAGAAAUACACACACUGGUUAUUAGGUAAAACUGUACACAGAGCAUCAGAAAGGGGAAGAAAUGUGAUUUAAGUGAAUUUGAGAUGGUUGUUGGUGCCAGAGGAGCUGCGUUAGCUGAGGUUGCCAGAAAACAAGACAAAGAAGACAACAGUAGUUGAAAUAACCUUUCAUUACAACCCAGGAAUGCAGAAUUCCUUUGUUGAAUGCAUAACAAGUCCAUCAUUAAAGGAGAAUGGCUAAAGAAGUAGACAACCAAACCAGGUUAAACUCCUGUCCACACACUUUGGACCCCUGAUUAUCAAAUAAGCACUGUUUAAAUGCCACAUCUUACCCAAGUAUUGUUGCUGAUCAUAUCCAUUCCUUAAUGACCACAGUGUACCUAUCUUCUAACGACUACAACCAGCAGGUGAAUGCACCAUGUCAUAAAGCUCAAAUCAUCUCGAACUGGUAACAUAAAAAUGGGUUCUUUGUUCUAUAAUGGCCUCUGCAAUCACCAGAUCCAUUCCAACAAAGCACUUUUGGGAUGUGAUUGAACGGGAGAUUCACAUUAUAGAUGUUCAGCUAACAUAUAUGCAACAGCUGAAUAGUGCUUUUAAGGACCAAAAUCUCUGUAAGCAACAAAAGGUUUUAGAAGGGAAUCUAAUCCAGAGCUUUAAAUACCUGGACUGUCUUCAGACAGUAUCUUAUUGGAUCAAAGACACAGACCCAGCUGAAUUUUAUUGUAGGUUCUGAUCAACUGUCUUUGUUCUCCAACCUUCACAGAAGGAGUAGAUGUUCACCUCAGGAUGAAUACAUCAUGUUUCUUUAGAGACAGUGUUCCAAUACCACAGAAUGUCUCAGGGGAGCCACAGGAACAUUAGGCUGAUGUAUUUGUUUCUCUAUUAGUAUUGAUCCAUGUUUAGUAUCAAUUCAGGCACUCGAGAGAAAUGAUCCAGUACAGGCUUUGGGGAACACAGGCACAAUCAGUUCAUGCCUUCAAGGACAUCUCAAACAGUAAAACCUAUGCAUCUAUAGCUAACUAAAUGGUGAUAGAAAACCACCGCGUAGAGCAUCUGCAGACACAACUAAGCUGUGAGAGAUGCCAAAACCUUUCCUCUACAAACACACACCCUCUCCUCUUCCUCCUCCCCCGCCUCCUCCUCAUCUCCCCCUGUUGCCGAAAGCCAGAGCAGACUGAUAAGAAGACAGCCAGAGACGGACUAAUCCUUCCACAUUGAGAGACAUUUCGGAUGGUGUGAGAUGGAAAUCAAACUGAACUGACAGACGAAGGCAGGAUGAGCCAGGAGCAGGGGAAGGCAAAAGGGUAGAAGUGAGGCGAGGAUACAGAUUAGCAAAAGUCUCUCUCUCUUCUGAGGCAGAUGUAGGUCAGCGCGUCUGGUGCUUGUCUGGAGCAGCAGAGUUUCAGAACCAUCUCUGCCAUCGUGCCCGAGCUAAGGGCGACUCUCUCCAGGCUACCAGAGGACAACAACCUGCGCCAACUGACCUGGCGUGCCCUGGAGGAUGCGCCAGCCACAGGGGAAUGAGGGUGGGGGUUUACAAGGGGGGCUGUAUGUGUACUUUUGAGAACCUUAGCCAGUAUAUGUUGUUUGCAUGUGUGCUGCAGAUGCAAAUGAAUGAGAUGGAGCGACACAUUGAAGGAAAAUACGAAGCAGGUCGAGGAGAGACGGGCAUUAAAUCGUCGCUCUGUCUUCGCUGAAAGAAGUUUUAGGGUAAAAUGUUCAUGUAAUACUAUUGUUGUAUCCCCUCUUCCAAUGAACAUACUUUUCAUCCACCGAUUUCCUACCUCCUCACCCCCCUCGUCCACAAUCUAACCUAAUCAUCGCAAAGCAUUAUGUUUCUUCCCCAGACCCUUUUCAGUUACAUCUGCAAUCGUCGCUGUUUUUUGCAAAAAAAAAAAGAAAAAAAACUAUCUCAGUGACCCUCUGAAAUCCAAACUCCAGGAUGGAGAGAAAUGCGAUGUUUGCUCUUUUGUCUCAUAAAGUAUUUCCUUCGCCAUGUUUCUCUGUACGGGUCCUUAUUCGGGAGAUGUCCCAUGCCCCAAAAAGCUGGAUGUCCAAAGUGUGCUCUGGCGUCCUCCAUAGACGUUUAAACGAAGACUGUAAAGCUCUGUUGAAGACUUCUGCGUUUCCCAUUCCCUGCUCCGUCUCCCUUCUCUGGCUUUUAGACAAUGCCCACAAAAAAUGAACAAUGUUUCAGAGUGCAGCUGCUGCGAGGCUGGCAGACUGGAGUGUGUGUGUUGCGAGCGAGUUUCCGUGUGUCUGUCUGUGCUCUCGAUUUGUCUCUGCAGCAUCUCAGUGUCCUGCAGUGGUACUCCUGUACUUCAGUGUGUACAGCCUGCAACUUUCAGUGUGUGUCUAUGCGUUUGCAUGCCUCAGUGUGACAUGGCAACCGUAUGACCUGCUGCGUCAGAGUCGUCAUGAUUAAUUUUUGGGGGAAUUCCUGGGGCGUGGCGUCGCUGGCCCGACCACACCUCGUCCACUUGUCCGUAUCUGAUUCCACUUGUCCCUCUUGUGCCAUAUUCUCUCACGAGUCCUUCUGGAAUACGAGCAAGAACUUCAACGAAACCAUUUCUGC